GACAGAGGGUGCAAACGUUGUUCGGAAUUAUUGGGCGUAAAGGGCGUGUAGGCGGUUUGCUAAGUCAUGUGUGAAAUCCCUCGGCUUAACCGAGGAACGACGCAUGAAACUGGCAAGCUAGAGUACCAAAGAGGGGGGUGGAAUUCCCGGUGUAGCAGUGAAAUGCGUAGAGAUCGGGAGGAACAUCAGUGCGAAGGCGCCACCUGGACCAGCACUGACACUGAGGCACGGAAAGCGUGGGGAGCAAACAGG
rnacentral:rRNA from 1 species